rnacentral:rRNA from 1 species
AUCUCGUAUUUGCCCAACUCGUCCGGGUCGACGGUCUCGAGCCAGCGCCGCAGCCGUUCGGUCUGCUCCGAGCUGCCCUCGUCGCUCGAGGACGAGGACUUGUCCAGCACCUCCUGCUCGACGAAGAUCGGAGCGCUGGCCCGCAAUGCCAGGGCCAUCGCAUCGCUCGGGCGGGCAUCGACCUUGUGGGUCUCCCCUCCUUGCGCCAGAUGAAUCGUCGCAAAGAAGGUGUUGUCCUUCAGGUC